rnacentral:rRNA from 1 species
CCUACGGGUGGCAGCAGUGAGGAAUAUUGGUCAAUGGUCGCGAGACUGAACCAGCCAAGCCGCGUGAGGGAUGAAGGUCCAGCGUAUCGUAAACCUCUUUUGUCAAGGAAUAAAGUCAGGCACGUGUCCCCUUAUGUGUGUACCUUAUGAAUAAGGAUCGGCUAACUCCGUGCCAGCAGCCGCGGUAAUACGGAGGAUCCGAGCGUUAUCCGGAUUUAUUGGGUUUAAAGGGUGCGAAGGUGGUUUGUUAAGUCAGUGGUAAAAGCCGGGGGCUCAACCCCGGACCGCCGUUGAAACUGGCAGUCUCGAGUUGGGGAGAGGUAGGCGGAAUGCGCGGUGUAGCGGUGAAAUGCAUAGAUAUCGCGCAGAACUCCGAUUGCGAAGGCAGCAUGCCGGAUCGACACUGACGCUGAGGCACGAAAGCGUGGGUAUCGAACAGGAUUAGAUACCCGAGUAGUC